rnacentral:lncRNA from 1 species
CUAUGGCUUAGUAUACAGGAUUAUAAGAAGAUGCUGCUAUGGGCUGAAUGUUUGUGCACUCCCACUCCCAAAAUUUCCAUGUUGAAGCCUAUUCUCCAAUGUGAUGAUAUUUGGAGGUGGGGCCUUUGAGAGAUAAUUAGCUCAUGAGGGUGGAGCCUAAAUGAAUGGGAUCAAUACCCUUUUCAAAAGAGGAGGAAGCGUGGGAUUCAAGUAAGAGGAUGACAUCCCUAAACCAGGAAGCAGGCCCUCACAAAACACCGGAUCUGCCAGCACCAGUGAUCUUGGACUUCUCAGUCUCCAGAACUGUGAGAAAUAAAUGCUUGUUUCAGCCACCCAGUUUAUGGAUUAAAUUUCUGCCAAGAAGUACAUGGUGACAAAGAACAGACACUCCAGAGACAGACCCUUUGGCUUCUAACCUGCCUUUCCCACUUAAUGGAGGCAUGACCUUGGAAUAAAUCCUACCUGCAGAAGUCUGGGGGCACCAUGCCAUAAACAUUGAUCCUGUCACAGAGCUCCAGUGCAAUUGUCAUUGUAAACCAGCCAGUGCUGAGCCAAGUGUUGGAUAUCUUCCUGGAAGGAACAAUAAUUAAGUCUGCAAGCUGGCUAUAUAUUCAUAAGACCUUUGAGACUGAAGGAGCUGGAAUGGAGAAGAGCUGACUGAAUGGCAAAGGCUUGGAGCAGGCUACAGGUAAAGAAUAUUAAGUCAAUAGAGUAUUGGCUUCUUUAAGACUGUUUCCCGAAGGCAAGAGGCACAAAGUUUCUGGAAGCAGCAGUGUACUCUGGCAUCCUCCACAUUCAUAAGUGUGAUUCCCCUGAGUAGGGACUACGUGGACCCUGGCAGAUGGAUGUCUGUGGAAAGAGUCCCACCAGCCACUCCACAAAGCUUUGGCUCCCUCCGUACCAGCCAGGACGACCAGGAAGAAAGACCUGUCAGCUUGAGCAGCCCAGUCACGCAGAGGACCCUACAAGUGAACUCUAGCAAUGACAUGAGCAGUGGAGCCCACAACAAAAGCCUGUAGCAAAAGCUUUGCUUUGGGUGAGUCAGCCAGUGAUGACUUAUCCUCACCCUCCCCUGCAUCUUCUUCCCUGUGCCUUUGUACCUGUCUUUGCCAGUCUCCUGCUUGAAG